UACCAAAGAAACCUCUGAUGCAGGUCUGC
rnacentral:piRNA from 1 species